UGGGGAAUUUUGGACAAUGGGCGCAAGCCUGAUCCAGCCAUGCCGCGUGCAGGAUGAAGGCCUUCGGGUUGUAAACAGCUUUUGUACGGAACGAAAAGGUGCCUUCUAAUAAAGGGCGCUCAUGACGGUACCGUAAGAAUAAGCACCGGCUAACUACGUGCCAGCAGCCGCGGUAAUACGUAGGGUGCGAGAGUUAAUCGGAAUUACUGGGCGUAGAGCGUGGGCAGGCGGUUUUGUAAGACAGAGGUGAAAUCCCCGGGCUCAACCUGGGAACUGCCUUUGUGACUGCAAGGCUGGAGUGCGGCAGAGGGGGAUGGAAUUCCGCGUGUAGCAGUGAAAUGCGUAGAUAUGCGGAGGAACACCGAUGGCGAAGGCAAUCCCCUGGGCCUGCACUGACGCUCAUGCACGAAAGCGUGGGG
rnacentral:rRNA from 1 species